ensembl:lncRNA
GUUUAUUUGGCUCACAACUUAAGUUUCAGUUCAUCAUCGACUGGCUCCAAAGCAGAUAUAUCAUGGUAGAAGAGUAUGGUGUAUCUGUCAGAGAUGCUUCCUUCAGGGCUGCUGAGAAGCAGAGUACAGGAAAAGAACACCCCUAAGAGAAGUACCCUCCAGAGGCAUACCUCCAAUGACUCACUUCCUUCAACUGGUCCCCACCUCCUAAUGGCACAUGAAGCUAUUUACAUAGGAAUCAAUCCACUGCUAACUAUGGAACCCCCAUGAUCCAAUCACCUCCCCAGGAGUCUGGGAUGGAACUCAGGACCUUGCACUUGUGAGGCAGGCAUGGUGCCACUUAGCUGAAUCCCAGGCCCUAUAUCAACAUUCUUAAACAUCUUCAUAAGUGGUAAUUAUACAAUCUCCUUUCAUUUGCUGUUCCAGAGGUUCAGUUAGGAUAUUUCCCUUCUUAUAUGCUGUAACUUCAAUUGACUCCUUCUUGUUCUGACUUUAUUGAUGGCCCAUUUUACAAGAUCUAAUCAGAAUAAGCUCAAAGCCAAGGCAAAUGAGAAGAGUCAACAUUUCUAGAGGUGUGCAAAAACUUUUUCAUAAUGUCUUUCUCAACUUUUAUAGGAAAUGCACCUUAAUUAGAUUUUCAGUAACUGUCAACAUUGGUAAAUAAGAAAUGAUUACAAACUGGCAUGAUACUUUAUGAUUCCACUGAAAUAAGAUAUUCUCAAACUUUAAAACUAUUCUUGCCAAUAAACGGAGUUGUGUUGGAAUAAAUCAUGCUCCUGGGGAAAUUUCCACUUCUGAAAAAGAAGGACUCAAGCUAAACAUUGAGAAUGUGAAAAGUUCAAAAGGCAGAAAUUCUGAAUGCAGUUUCCAUUCAAGGGCAGUAUGAUAAUGGGGAGUCACUGUGGGUGUCUCUUAAAAAUCUAUUAUUUUAUUCUACUCCUGUCUCUGAAUCAGCCUUAUUAUUUCCUUGUUCUCCCAUUUCUAUUAUACUUUCUUAUUCUCACUGUCAGCCUACCUAAUUUCUCACUUUAUUGAUAAUUUAAAAAGCUGUUUCAGGAUAUUCCAAUCAAGUGCUUGCCACCAACAGCAGCCCAUGUCAUAAUUUACUAAAAGAAGACAAGAGUGAAAAUUUGGGUAAUUUUGUCACCAAGACAAGAAGUAUUACAUGCAUUAAAUCUUUUACCAAACAUGUUCUUACACGUUAUCUCAAAUAUCAUUUUUUGGUAAAAUGAAAUUUUUCACUAAUAGUGAUGAGAAUGCUAAGUAGAAUGCAUAAACAAGGAUGAAAAAACUUUUCAUAAUGAUAUGAUAUAAUGUAAUAUCAUAUUAUAUUAAUAACUAUACAAAGAGUCUGUAUGAUAUAUAUAUAUGAACGUAGACAUUUCAAAUGGCAUCUUAAACAAUGAUUGCUAUAAUUUCCCUUUUUAAAACACAAAUAAAUUAUUUUCCUUUCUUAUGUUAAAUACAAAGAGCAAAAUUUCCUUUCGCAUCCUAAACAGAAAUUAUUUUGCAUACAACUUCCCUGGAGAGUUUUAGAAAUGGCACUCCAAUUCCAAACUCACAGCAUGUGAUAAUAGGAUCAUCAGCAACUUGACUUCUGACCAUCAUGUCAUUAUAAAUGAAAUGGCUGCUUGACUGACUUUCUAAGAUGGAAACUUGCUGUACAAUGGUUGGAUACUCAUUGCAUUUUAAUUUUUUCUGGCUAUCCAUGUACAGGAUUAAAAUUGUUACAAAUAUUUGCUAAUGAACCAAAAAAGAUGAAAAACAUUUUAUUCUUGUAGGCAUUUUUGAUACAGAAUAUGUGUUGACAUCAGAGGAAAAAAACCCCAAAAUUCCCCUAUGAAAAUGUCCUUGGGCUAAUCUAUUAAAAAUUUCAAUUAACAACUUUAAUGUGAUCUGUAUUCACACUGCAAAGAUACUCUAAGUUACAGUACUAUUUUCUGUUUCCAACAUGGUUUUGAUUUUUGCAACAUAAAGAUUUCUGAUGUUCAUCUUAACAGAAAACAUUCAAAUUGUUUAAACCAUUUCACUGAAGAAGUAUGCAAAAGAAACAAUUAAAAUUGCAAUUUAAAAAAUAUGCAUGUAUACUAAAGGUAAUGAUAAAUCAUGAAUGUUUUUGCAUUUCAGGAAUUGAAGAGCAGGCAAGGUCUGUUUUUACUUCAUUUAUCAGGAUUAUCACAUAAAAGC